UUCAUUUUCCCCCACUUUCCCAAUGU
rnacentral:piRNA from 1 species